rnacentral:tRNA from 1 species
GCUUCCGUGGCGCAAUGGGGCAGCGUUUGACAUUAUGUCACGAUUGUGGGUUCGAUUCUCACCCAGGGGAACG